rnacentral:tRNA from 1 species
UGGGGGUGUAACUCAGUUGUAAGAACGGCCUGUCUGUCGAACAGGAAGUCGCGGGUUCGAGUCCCGUCAUCCCCGU